AGGAAACCGAGGGUGCGCGUGUGAAAGCCCCGCCCCCAGCCCUAGCUCCUCCUUCCCCUUUCAGCAACUCCAGGCCCUGCGCCAGCGCAUCCUCUGCAAGAGUGUGCUGCCCGGGCUUGCUUGCAAGGAGGGUUAGUGCUGUGCGGAUAAAAGCCGCCUUGCUCUGGCUGUCUACACGCACGCAGGCUGCUCGGAUCAGGCUGCAAGUCCGCGGCUCCAGCCUCCUUUCGCACUCGGUGUUUACAUCCCGUCCCCGCUCGGGGUCUACGUGGCUUGCUCCACAAGCCGGAGGAGCGUGCGGAGCAGCGGGUUGCGGGUGACGGUGGCGAAGUAACUUCAGGAGUCAGAGGAGAGAAGAGUGGAGAGACCUUACUGAAUCCAGCUGACAUGCUGAUAGGAAAGCCAGUUACUGAAGAGAAAUACAGCAACGCGGAUCCUACACCGAGUGUAUAGCAGAGAGAAGCGAGAGGAUAAUGAAAAAGUUUACCUACUUCACAAUUUGAUUCAAGAUCAGUCCUGUGCUCACAUCUGCCAAUCCUCGUCUUUUUUUGCUGAGGAAGACUGGCCCUGGGCUAACAUCCAUGCCCAUCUUCCUCCACUUUAUAUGGGAUGCCACCACAGUAUGGCUUGACAAGCAGUGUAUCGGUGCGCGCCCAGGAUCCGAGCCGGCGAUUCCCCGGGCCGCUGCAGCGGAGAGCACACACUUAACCACUUGUGCCACCGGCCCAGCCCCUAUAUUUACCUUUUAAAAAGCAGUGAGGCACACAGCUGGACUGUAUUUCCUAGUAGGUAUGACCAUCUCAUGGAGUUCUGACUAAUGUAAUGUAAGUAGAAGUGAUGUAUGCCACUUCCAGUCCUGGCCCGCAAAGUCUCCCACAUGCAACCUUCCAUGUUUCAGCAGCUUUGAUGCCAAUGUUGAAGGUACAGAGCCACAAGGAUGAAAGAGUCUGGAUCCCAGAGUCACUGCUGAGAUGGUAGCUACCCAUUGACCAAGAGUGUAAAACAAACUUUGGUGUUCAACCACUAAGAUAUUCUGAUGCAACAUCCAUUAUUGCCUAAACUAAGAAGUGAUGGGUCGUUUUUCCUUGGACAAAGGCGCUAGAGAUGAAGAUGAUGACAAGUGGUCAGAUUCUACAUUUAUUUAGCAGAGUAACAGGAUUUUCUGGGGGUUUGGUUGUGGUGGGAGAGUGAGAGAGGAGCCAAGGAUGAUCUAAAUGUUUUUGCCUUGAACAUUGGAGGAAGGCAUUGUCGUUUAUUGAGAAGAAAGACUGGAGGAAGAAUAGUUCUGUAGGGUGGAAAAUCAAGAGUAUAAUUUUGGACAUGUUAAGCUUAAGACGCCUGAUGUUAUCUUCAUAACUACCUUAUCAUAUAAAUAUUGUUAUCUUCAUUUUUAGCAUGAGGAAAUAGAGGCUUGGUGAGGCAAGUGAUUUGUUCAAGGGACGGUGUUGGGACAGGAAUUUGAAUCCAGCCUCUGUGACUCAGCACCUGAGGUGACCUCUUCCCCACUCUAGCAUACAGUCCUUUCCAAGAACGUAUCAGGAGAGCAAAUGCACCCACUAUAUUAAAUACAUUUAGCAAAUAAAAAAUAUCACAAUGAGGUGGUACUCUCUAAUUUAGCUAAUUUAAAGAAGAAAAGAGAAGAGGAGAGAAUAGAAAGAGGACAGGGAGGAGAGUAAGAUGAUAUAAAAAUUACUAUAUUUUGGAAAAGCAGAAUGGGUGUGCAUUUUUCUUUUGCAUUCUCUGAAAUGAAACCUUCCUGCUUAUUCUGAAAUGGGCAUCCAUUUGCCUUGAGGAGGAUUAGGAUUGUUUCAGCAAGAAUGCAAAGGGCAAGUUGGAGUAAAUAUUCUGUCCUUACAAUGCAGAGUAUUUUAGCAUCCUUAGCAAGACAGAAGUUUUGAAAGUAGGACUUUGUAAUAAGCAAAGGAUCUAUUUCUAAACUCUCUUGGAUACCAUUAAUAUUAAAAGGCAGCCCUAGCCUACCAGAUCAUGGAAUUUCUUCUAGAGUUUAGUGAGGACACCUCUUCUACCAUUUAGACUGAACUGUGAGGCUUAGUGCCCUUAGGAAGAAGGACACUAUGACUUAGGGGAAAUCUAUGCCAGAGACCUAAAUAAGGAGAAAGCCUGCUCCUUCUACUCCAAUGAUCUACGGGAGGAGAGUGGAAAUUGAAAGAGAGUAAAGAAACUUGAUAUCUAUAUCUAAGUCCUAGCAUCAAUUUCUUUCUCUUGGGCUAGAAUCUUGAUCAAGGGAGACCAUGAUAAAUUCAUUUUGAUGUGUAAGGCCUUGCUUAAGGCAUCUAUGUUGGUGGGCUACUUCACCAGGAUAACCUGAGGGAGGUUGCAGUGUUUUAGAGAGAGCACACCUUGUGGCAUGGAGCUGUGUCCAGCAUGACAUGGGAGCAAUAAUGCCAUCUUGACAGAGGGAGACAACUCAAUAGAUGAGGUUGAAAAAGUUCCCCUGCUUGCUGGUAGCCUAAGCAGUGGUGCAGGGACUUUAAAUGUUCCCAUGUGUCCUGAGGAGGUGAUAGAGAAGUGCUGAGAGAGUGGUGGGCCAGCUGAGUCCUGAGGUUGGAACAAUGAGGCUACAGAAUGCAGGACUUUGCUUCUGGAUGCUGCAAAUUCAAAAUUUAGAUGUGAGUUCUAAGUUAUAUAGGCAUGUCUCAGCUGAUGAUCCGGAAACUAGACCAAAUUAGCAACUUCAUGGCAGGAACCAGUGAAGACCUUCUGACAGUCUGCAGAUCAGAGGUCCCCGACCAAGUCUAUCAAAUUGUGAGCUGUCACUCCCCCCUACACAGAUGACAUCUUGAAGAUGAAUAAGGAGAAGGAAAGAAAAAUCUAAAAGACUGAGACAUUACCUGAAAUACAGUGAAUCAUUCAAAAGAGAAUAUUUAAAUGGAAACAUUGGGACACCAUUAUUUGAUACAUUUAAAAUCUGCCUCCUUGUCUCCCAGUGGGGUUAGGAUUCACAAGGAAGAUUUGAUCAGUUAUAGAAAAGCACAGAAGGUUUUUUCUUUUCCCACUUAAUUCUCUACACAUGUUAAAUUUAUGGCCCAUUCCACCACUGAGUUUUUAUUCAAAUGUUACUCUUUCUCUAAGUCCACAAAGACGAAUUGUAAAUAGAGAUAAUUCUCUGCUCUACUCUAUUGUCUAAGGAAAUUUGAAUUCUUUUUUUUU